rnacentral:rRNA from 1 species
UAAGCGGAGGAAAAGAACUAACANGGAUUCCCUAGUAACUGCGAGUGAAGCGGGAAAAGCUCAAAUUUGGAAUCUGGUGGUCUUUGGCCAUCCGAGUUGUAAUUUAGAGAAGCGUCUUCCGCGCUGGACCGUGCACAAGUCUCCUGGAAUGGAGCGUCAUAGAGGGUGAGAAUCCCGUCUUUGGCAUGGAAUCCCAGGGCUUCUGUGAUGCGCUCUCGACGAGUCGAGUUGUUUGGGAAUGCAGCUCAAAAUGGGUGGUGAACUCCAUCUAAAGCUAAAUAUUGGCGAGAGACCGAUAGCGAACAAGUACCGUGAGGGAAAGAUGAAAAGCACUUUGGAAAGAGAGUGAAACAGUACGUGAAAUUGUUGAAAGGGAAACGCUUGAAGUCAGUCGCGUCGACCGAGACUCAGCCUUGCCUCGGCUUGGUGUACUUCUCGGCUUGACGGGUCAGCAUCGAUUUCAAUCCUCGGAUAAUGGCAAGGGAAAGGUAGCNCCUUUUUA